GAUGAACGCUGGCGGCGUGCUUAACACAUGCAAGUCGAACGGAAAGGCCCAAGCUUGCUUGGGUACUCGAGUGGCGAACGGGUGAGUAACACGUGGGUGAUCUGCCCUGCACUUCGGGAUAAGCCUUGGAAACUGGGUCUAUUACCGGAUAGGACCACUUCUUGGAUGUUGUUGUGGAAAGUUUUUUCGGUGUGGGAUGAGCUCGCGGCCUAUCCGCUUGUUGUUGGGGUAAUGGCCUACCAAGGCGUCGACGGGUAGCCGGCCUGAGAGGGUGUUCGGCGACAUUGGGACUGAGAUACGGCACAGACACCGACGGGAGGCAGCAGGGGGGAAGAUUGCACAAUGGGCGCAAGCCUGAUGCAGCGACGCCGCGUGGGGGAUGACGGCCUUCGGGUUGUAAAAUCCAUUCGCUAGGGACGAAGCGUUUUGUGACGGUACCUGGAGAAGAAGCACCGGCUAACUACGUG
rnacentral:rRNA from 1 species